AUUGAACGCUGGCGGCAUGCCUUACACAUGCAAGUCGAACGGUAACAGGUCUUCGGAUGCUGACGAGUGGCGAACGGGUGAGUAAUACAUCGGAACGUGCCCGAUCGUGGGGGAUAACGCAGCGAAAGCUGUGCUAAUACCGCAUACGAUCUACGGAUGAAAGCGGGGGAUCGCAAGACCUCGCGCGGACGGAGCGGCCGAUGGCAGAUUAGGUAGUUGGUGGGAUAAAAGCUUACCAAGCCGACGAUCUGUAGCUGGUCUGAGAGGACGACCAGCCACACUGGGACUGAGACACGGCCCAGACUCCUACGGGAGGCAGCAGUGGGGAAUUUUGGACAAUGGGGGAAACCCUGAUCCAGCCAUGCCGCGUGCAGGAUGAAGGCCUUCGGGUUGUAAACUGCUUUGUACGGAACGAAAGGUACCUUUCUAAUAAAGAGGGACGUCAUGACGGUACCGUAAGGAAUAAGCACCGGCUAACUACGUGCCAGCAGCCGCGGUAAUCAACGG
rnacentral:rRNA from 1 species